rnacentral:tRNA from 1 species
GCCGAAGUAGCUCAGUUGGUAGAGCAAUUCAUUCGUAAUGAAUAGGUCGACGGUUCGAUUCCGUUCUUCGGCUCCA